GAUGAAGAACGCAGCGAAAUGCGAUAAUUAAUGUGAAUUGCAGAAUUCCGUGAAUCAUCGAAUCUUUGAACGCACAUUGCGCCCCUUGGUAUUCCGAGGGGCAUGCCUGUUCGAGCGUCAUAUUAACCACUCCCGCUUGCGGGGUCUUGGGCUUCGCCUCCGGGCGGGCCUUAAAAUCAGUGGCGGUGCCGUCGGGCUCUACGCGUAGUAAAUUUUCUCGCGAUAGGGUCCCGGUGGAUGCUUGCCAACAACCCCCAACUUCUUAAGGUUGACCUCGGAUCAGGUAGGGAUACCCGCUGAACUUAAGCAUAUCAAUAAGCGGAGGA
rnacentral:misc_RNA from 1 species